rnacentral:rRNA from 1 species
UACGAGGGGUGCAAGCGUUGCUCGGAAUUAUUGGGCGUAAAGGGUAGGUAGGUGGUCUCAUUUGUCUGGGGUGAAAUCCUUGAGCUUAACUCAAGAAGUGCCCCGGAAACGGUGAGACUGGAGUCUUGGAGAGGGUCGUGGAAUUCCCGGUGUAGCGGUGAAAUGCGUAGAGAUCGGGAGGAACACCAGCGGCGAAGGCGGCGACCUGGACAAGUACUGACACUCAACUACGAAAGCGUGGGGAGCAAACAGG